CAGCAGCCGCGGGAAUACGAAGGGUGCAAGCGUUACUCGGAAUUACUGGGCGUAAAGCGUGCGCAGGUGGUGGUUUAAGUCCGUUGUGAAAGCCCUGGGCUCAACCUGGGAAUUGCAGUGGAUACUGGGUCACUAGAGUGUGGUAGAGGAUAGUGGAAUUUCCGGUGUAGCAGUGAAAUGCGUAGAGAUCGGAAGGAACAUCUGUGGCGAAGGCGACUAUCUGGGCCAACACUGACACUGAGGCACGAAAGCGUGGGGAGCAAACAGGAUUAGAUACCCCCGUAGUCCCUGUCUCUUAUAC
rnacentral:rRNA from 1 species